CAGCAGCCACGGUAAUACGAAGGGGGCUAGCGUUGUUCGGAAUUACUGGGCGUAAAGUGCACGCAGGCGGCUCGAUAAAUUAGAAGUGAAAGCCUUGGGCUUAACCUGAGAAUUGCUUUUAAGACUGUCGAGCUAGAAUCCAGAAGAGGGUAGUGGAAUUCCGAGUGUAGAGGUGAAAUUCGUAGAUAUUCGGAAGAACACCAGUGGCGAAGGCGACUACCUGGUCUGGCAUUGACGCUCAUGUGCGAAAGCGUGGGGAGCAAACAGGAUUAGAUACCCGCGUAGUCCCUGUCUCUUAUAC
rnacentral:rRNA from 1 species